UACGGGGGGAGCAAGCGUUGUUCGGAUUUACUGGGCGUAAAGGGCGCGUAGGCGGCGCAACAAGUCACUUGUGAAAUCUCCGGGCUUAACCCGGAGCGGCCAAGUGAUACUGUCGUGCUAGAGUGCGGAAGGGGCUACUGGAAUUCUCGGUGUAGCGGUGAAAUGCGUAGAUAUCGAGAGGAACACCUGCGGCGAAGGCGGGUUGCUGGGCUGACACUGACGCUGAAGCGCGAAAGCGUGGGGAGCAAACAGG
rnacentral:rRNA from 1 species